AGCCAGCCAAAACCCUCGGCUCCAAAAUCAUAUAUUUAUCCAAUCAUUUAAUCAAUUUCCUACAUGACUGAUUAAAUUGAUGUUUUCAUCUUUAUUGCAUGGCUUAUAAAAUAAGGAUUAAGCUGAACCGGUCAACAACAAUUUCCACUAAAUUAAUUUCCAUACAUGGCGUCACCUGAAGGAAAAAUGUUUGCCCGGAUUUCUCUACUUUUUGACAUGCCUUUUUUCCCGACAUUUUUGAAAAAAUUGAGAUUUUAAUGUCAAACGAUCAGGAUUUCUAUGCUGAUAACGAAUUAGUAUUUAAUGUGGCUUGGGACAUGGCUCUAAUUGGCAUUUCUACACGGUUUUUACAUUGGUGCAUUGUACAAGAGGUUUCUGAAAAUGGAUUUCUUUAAAAGAAUUGCAAUAUAUUUCAACCCACCGCCGGCACAGGAGCCAACGAUUGUCGAUAUUACUAAACGACUAUGCCUUCAGAUUUGGGACUAUUUUCGACCGCCGCCCCCUCCAGUACGCUUUCUGGGCGAUGACAACUUUAUUAAUACCCUCAACGUUAGUUCCCUGAUAUUGGUCUUCGUAUGCCCUUUUAUUAUGGGUAUAUACUUUAAAGAUCUAGUAAAACUAUGCAGAAAACUCUACCAUUGGAAGGCUAUGCUAAGACAGAUAGACCAUAUGGAGAAUAUCGAGGAGGACGAUCAGAGCGAGUUAUCUGAGGAGGAGGAGGAGAUAGCCGACAUAGAAGAUGGAGCAAGGGAAGUCGCUAGACUGGAGGAUGAUCCGAACGAACUUGCUCUAGUCCCUGUCCCAGUCCCAGAACCAAUCCAACUCCCAAUCCCUGUCCCAAACGAUAAUUAGUUAUAUUUUGAUUCAAUUUAGUUCGAAAUUUGCAGUCCAAACUAGUUUUAAAUAAAUGUGCUAUGAUCCCUUUGGCCCUUAAA